rnacentral:rRNA from 1 species
UACGGGGGGGGGCAAGCGUUGUUCGGAAUUACUGGGCGUAAAGGGCUCGCAGGCGGCCGACUAAGUCAGACGUGAAAUCCCUUGGCUUAACCAAGGAAUGGCGUCUGAUACUGGACGGCUUGAAUUCGGGAGAGGGAUGUGGAAUUCCAGGUGUAGCGGUGAAAUGCGUAGAUAUCUGGAGGAACACCGGUGGCGAAGGCGGCAUCCUGGACCGAUAUUGACGCUGAGGAGCGAAAAGCCAGGGGAGCAAAGCGGGG